rnacentral:lncRNA from 1 species
CCCACACUGCCUGUGGACUCAGCAGCUGUGCAUCUCUCCGUCCCUCCCACACACACACAUUCACACACACAUACACACACACUGGAUCUUCAUCUGUGAAGGCGAAGUCUUUCGCAAUGAAUCCAUGGCAGCUUCGAUCGAGCGGUGAGCUGGAGCACCUACAUACAGGCCACUCCUUGAUGUGACUGAAAAGAGGCCUUUUCCAGCACUCUGAAAGGAGAGUGGGGCUGUGGAUUUACCUCCCACACACCUGGGCACCCAGAGUACAUGCACUGCGAGCACCCCUUCCUCAUCCCCUCUCCAGCAUCUCCCUUCCCAUGUGACACUUUGGUGUGCUGUGCUGGGCAGGAACAGGGCUGGGGAAGACUUGGGACAGGCCUUCUUCACAGGCCAAGCUGGAGACCAGAAGCAAAGUUCUGCUGGGGGGUGAAGAGAGAAGGAGAAAGAGGAAGCCCUGAGGCUAUAGAAACACCCUGA